CUUGACCGAGCCGAGCCACAGCGGUUCGUCCCCGGCGCGUUCCUGGCCGUACGUGGCCAGCAGCGCCUGCGCCUC
rnacentral:antisense_RNA from 1 species